rnacentral:rRNA from 1 species
AGUCCAGCCUGCCCAGUGAGUAUUUUAACGGCCGCGGUAACCUGACCGUGCUAAGGUAGCGCAAUCAAUUGCCCUUUAAUUGUGGGCUAGUAUGAAUGGCUAGACAAGAGCUUAACUGUCUCAAAGGACCAUAAUGGAACUUGACCUUUAGGUGCAGAGGCCUAAAUAUUAGUGAAAGACAAGAAGACCCUAUCGAGCUUUAAUUUCAAUUAUUGUAAAAAAAUUAUAUAAAUUUUUAUUGGGGCAAUACAGGAACACAUAAAGCUUCCUUUUACUACAAGUUUAACGUAAUAAAUGAAACAUAUUUUUUGCUCACCGGCAUAAGCUACCGUAGGGAUAACAGACUAAUUUUCCUUGAGAGUCCACAUUGACAGGAAAGUUUGGCACCUCGAUGUUGGCUUAAAAAACAGUCACGAAGCAGCAUUCUGACCCUGKAGGUUUUGUUCCACCUUUAAAAAUUUA